GUGCAUGUAAGUAUGGAGCUCAGUCAUC
rnacentral:piRNA from 1 species